AGAGUUUGAUCCUGGCUCAGGAUGAACGCUGGCGGCGUGCCUAAUACAUGCAAGUCGAGCGAACGGACGAGAAGCUUGCUUCUCUGAUGUUAGCGGCGGACGGGUGAGUAACACGUGGAUAACCUACCUAUAAGACUGGGAUAACUUCGGGAAACCGGAGCUAAUACCGGAUAAUAUUUUGAACCGCAUGGUUCAAAAGUAAAAGACGGUCUUGCUGUCACUUAUAGAUGGAUCCGCGCUGCAUUAGCUAGUUGGUAAGGUAACGGCUUACCAAGGCAACGAUGCAUAGCCGACCUGAGAGGGUGAUCGGCCACACUGGAACUGAGACACGGUCCAGACUCCUACGGGAGGCAGCAGUAGGGAAUCUUCCGCAAUGGGCGAAAGCCUGACGGAGCAACGCCGCGUGAGUGAUGAAGGUCUUCGGAUCGUAAAACUCUGUUAUUAGGGAAGAACAUAUGUGUAAGUAACUGUGCACAUCUUGACGGUACCUAAUCAGAAAGCCACGGCUAACUACGUGCCAGCAGCCGCGGUAAUACGUAGGUGGCAAGCGUUAUCCGGAAUUAUUGGGCGUAAAGCGCGCGUAGGCGGUUUUUUAAGUCUGAUGUGAAAGCCCACGGCUCAACCGUGGAGGGUCAUUGGAAACUGGAAAACUUGAGUGCAGAAGAGGAAAGUGGAAUUCCAUGUGUAGCGGUGAAAUGCGCAGAGAUAUGGAGGAACACCAGUGGCGAAGGCGACUUUCUGGUCUGUAACUGACGCUGAUGUGCGAAAGCGUGGGGAUCAAACAGGAUUAGAUACCCUGGUAGUCCACGCCGUAAACGAUGAGUGCUAAGUGUUAGGGGGUUUCCGCCCCUUAGUGCUGCAGCUAACGCAUUAAGCACUCCGCCUGGGGAGUACGACCGCAAGGUUGAAACUCAAAGGAAUUGACGGGGACCCGCACAAGCGGUGGAGCAUGUGGUUUAAUUCGAAGCAACGCGAAGAACCUUACCAAAUCUUGACAUCCUUUGACAACUCUAGAGAUAGAGCCUUCCCCUUCGGGGGACAAAGUGACAGGUGGUGCAUGGUUGUCGUCAGCUCGUGUCGUGAGAUGUUGGGUUAAGUCCCGCAACGAGCGCAACCCUUAAGCUUAGUUGCCAUCAUUAAGUUGGGCACUCUAAGUUGACUGCCGGUGACAAACCGGAGGAAGGUGGGGAUGACGUCAAAUCAUCAUGCCCCUUAUGAUUUGGGCUACACACGUGCUACAAUGGACAAUACAAAGGGCAGCGAAACCGCGAGGUCAAGCAAAUCCCAUAAAGUUGUUCUCAGUUCGGAUUGUAGUCUGCAACUCGACUACAUGAAGCUGGAAUCGCUAGUAAUCGUAGAUCAGCAUGCUACGGUGAAUACGUUCCCGGGUCUUGUACACACCGCCCGUCACACCACGAGAGUUUGUAACACCCGAAGCCGGUGGAGUAACCUUUUAGGAGCUAGCCGUCGAAGGUGGGACAAAUGAUUGGGGUGAAGUCGAAACAAGGUAGCCGUAUCGGAAGGUGCGGCUGGAUCACCU
rnacentral:rRNA from 1 species